UCCCUCCUUCAUUUCUUAUGUCUUUUGUAUCUUAUUCAUAUUUUUACUUCAUCUUUUCUUCUCUUUGUUUUAAUGUCCACCUCCUCCGUCUUCACCUAUACAGAUGCACGAUUCUUCUUCCAUCUUUGCUAUUUCAUCCACCGAUUCACGAGCCCUGCGUCGCCUGACCUUGCCCUGUUUUGGUUCGCUAUUCGCCUCGGCCACUGGCAUUCCUCCUCCGCACAAGUCGUCACGAGCACCUACUUGUUGCGCCUCAUUGCAAGUUCGUUAUUGCGUGCGUGCCCUCAUUUGGGUUGUCUUCUGCCGUCAGACGCUCACGCACUUCAGGCCUUCAAUCUCGCUCGCUAACCGUUGGGGUUGGGGAAAGAAGCAGAAACCCUCAAUACUACCAGCGACGACGAAGGAAAUCUUGGCAUGCAGAUAAUCAACUUGCUACAUAAUAUUCUAUAACAUCUAUUUGCAUUUGAGAAGAUUAUACCACAAUCAAUUUGUUCUCGGUAUGGUUUAACAAUUGGUGCAAUAGUGGUUCCAGCUGUUCGCGUUCUUGUAUGGAUACAUUUUCUUGUUGCUUAUCCAAUUAGUGAGGUGACACAAAUUAAGAAAAUUUUAUUGAUACUUCUUUAUUUUUAUUUCAGUAACCAAUAACGAAUUUGAUUAUUUGUGGACUUUCUUUUCGUUAUUCGUUAUUUGUGGACUUUCCUUCUUGAUUAUUUGUGGACUUUCUUGAUUCUUGGUGUUGCUCAUGUUUAAGUUGUCCUCAGGAUUGUUUUCCAUUUGUUUUUGGUUGAAAGUUUAUUUUUAUGGUGUCCAACUCAUUUUUCGUGUGUAUGAUACAUGAAUUUUUAAAUCUAUUUCUACUAGCAUUCACAUUAAACAUGAAAAUUUAGUGGGAUGGGCUUUUGAGCACCUUGUUAUUUGUUACUAUGGAAAUGGCUCAUGACCUUUGUGUAAUUUUUAUUUUUAAUCUUAUUCCAAUAGGUCUGGUGGUGCCAUUGUGAUUGUUGAACAACUCAAAAUAAGUUUAUAGUUUAUUCUGUAAGCAUCAUGGUGAAGCAUAUAAUAUAAGUAUGCGUGUUAAGUUGAAUAUAAGGGGUGAAUUAAGUUGUUUGUUGGAUGCACUCUGGCUUGGUUGGUGUUGCUCAUGUUUAAAUCAUCCUUAGGAUUAUUUUGCAUUUAUGAUAAGCUUAUGAUAUCAGCAUGUCAUAAGCUAAAAAAAAAUUGUGAAUUAAGUUGUUUACUUGGCGCACUCUGGCUUGGUGUUUCUCACGUUUCAUUUGUCCUUAGGAUUAUUUUUCAUUUAUGAUUUUGGCUGGAAAUGUAUACUCUAUUUUGUUGUGUAUAUGAUACAUGAAUUUUUAAAGCUAUUUGCACUAGUUUUCUUAUUAAAUGUGAAAAAUUACACGAGAUGGUCUUCUAAGCACCCCUUUAUUUAUCCUUAUUAAAGUGGCUUAUGACCUUGGUAUAAGUUUUUUUAAUCGUAUUCCAUAGGUUUCAUGGUGAUUGCUGAAAGUUAUUGAAAUAAGUUUUUUUUUUUAGUUUAUUUUUGUAAGCUUCAUGGUACGCUUAUGAUAUAUGCGCUUAUAGAUAAGCUUAAAGUAAGUGUUGAAUUAAGUUUUUUACUAGAUGCACUUUGCCAUGUUGCUUAUGUUUAUUAGGGUUGUUAUUGUUGACUUUUGGUGUACAAGAAAAUUUAGUACUGCACUAAGAGAUAAGAGAAGUAAGUAAAUGUAAGUAGAUGAACUAUAAUGGGUUGUAUACUUUACGCUUUGGAUUUAUGAAUGGUUAAAAUUGUAGAUUUUGUUUUUUGUUUUUUUAUCUUUUUAUGAAUGUUAUAGGAAAAUUGUAAAUAUAAAAAAUUUAAAACCUUUUGUCUUUUGUAAUUUUUCAUUUAUUUUAAGAUUUAUGUAUAAAAAAAGUAACAAACAUAAGGUGGGUUUGAAACCCUUUGAAGAAAAUAUUGAAAGCUUAUUGUUGAUAUGUGGUUCUAAAUUGUAGACAACAUUGUGGGUUUUAACUCCUAAGCAGUACUAGGGUUUUAUAAACCCUAGCCAUCAUUACUAAGGGUUUUAUAAACCCCAACCAUUACUAGGGGUUUUGUAAACCCUAACCAUUACGAGGGUUUUGUAAACCUCCGUCAUUACGAGGAGUUUUGUAAACCUCCACUAAGUUGUGCUAAUACCAGAGGUUAUUAAAAACCUCGAUAAUCUUUUAGCUACGCUGGCUCUACUAGAGGAAAAGAGAACCCCUGGUAAAACCAUUAGUCGGGGUUAAAAUCCCAGAAAAACAAAAAAUAACCCCAACUAAAAAUAAUUAUUUUUGUAAUGUUUGGAUAUUUUGAGGUGUGUUAGUGCAGUUGCAGCUAGGUUGAGCUCAUGGAAGUGUGGAAAUAAAUUGCUUAAAGCUUCAUGACACCUUAAAGAUAAAUCCAAGAAUAGGAAAUGAUCAAAAUCACAAAAAUUGAAGCCAAACAUUGCAUGAAGACGACAAGAAAAACUUGAAAAAUUGAAGAAGUUUUGCUAAGCUAAGAAAGGGAACGGGCAACAAAAAUUGGACCUUGCGAUUUUCUCUAUUUUUUUCAAGAAGAAGGGCUUUGAUAAUUCAUAAA